AAAAUAAAAAAUAUGUAACAAAUAUUGUUAAAAAAAGUGUUUUGGAAUUUCCCUCUUGGGGGUACCAUUUUGGGGUAUUUCCCUAUGAGCGUAGUCCAGGCGGUAAGACAUUGAAGUUUUAAGAAAUAAUAAAGGGAAAAUGAACUUAAUUAAUAACAUUUGAUACACAUGGUAUAAAUUAACAAUUUGAAGAUAUAACAAGUUUAAAUACAUAAAAGUUUGACCAUUGUUACUACACGUUGUCAUGGUUGUGACGUGACGUUGUUGAUGAAAUACAGUAGUUCCG
rnacentral:lncRNA from 1 species